rnacentral:pre_miRNA from 1 species
AUGGCGAUCAUCAAAUGUAACAGCAACUCCAUGUGGACUGUGUCUAAUUUCCAGUGGAGAUGCUGUUACUUUUGAUGCUUACCAA